GCGGCCCUCCGAGAUGUCCAUGGCGGCUUCCGCAUCCAGGUCAUCAAUGUGACUGAAGAUCCAGUCCACAGCCCUUUCUAAACUAUUGUUCUUGGAGAGGAGGGAAGCAUUGCUCUUUCCAACAAGUUCAGGGCCCCCCAGUCCUCAGCCGGGAGACAGCCCAUACCGUGGCCCGAAGAGCUUUCAGGGCCUGGUCCCGGGAGAAGCCCAUGGAGACGAUGGUGCUCACGCAGUCUUCCGGCGGGGGGUCAGCUGCCGCACUGGUGGAGCCAGGCCCGCUGGAGCCAGGCAGGAUGAGGGGGUUUGCGAAAUCUGCGGGGGUUGAAGGGGUUGAAGUGUGUGGGGGAGGACGGUGGCCCUGUUCCGCCCUGCUACCCACCCCCGCCUACCUGGAUCGUCCAUGUGUGACAUGACCCAGUUCAUGGCGGCCUCAGCCCCACUGUUGCCUGUGUAGUAGACGGCUUUGCGGCAGGCGUCCAUAGGGAAGCCCAUCUCCACCAGCUGGAUAAUGAC